GUUUUGAAGAACACAUUUGAACUUUGGAAUAAACUUUGUGAUUUUAAAUUAUAACUGUUCCAACUUUAAAACAAGCAUUUGAAGUCAGAAUUAGCUAGCAUAUAUUGUUUUCACUUCAUUGCAAAGUGGAACUUGUUUGAGGACAGAUGAAUUGAAGCACCAAAACUUAACCCCUUUUUGGAGCGGUAUGCGAUGAUAAAACAAUAAAAUUGAUUGGCACAUGUGUAUAUGCACAUAGUAAAGUAAAUCACAACCAGACAUCAAAAUGAUGUUCUUUGGAACAAAAAGCAAAAACAGUGAAAAUAUUCAAAAGUAUAUAAUUGUUUGGUGAAAAUAUUGGUUACAUACAUGUUGGUAGGAUUUCGUACUAAGAAGCAAUAGAG